AAGAGAGGGGGUUACGUCAGCAGUGAUGGCAAAGUGGCUUGCACUCUGAAGGAGUUCAAUGAGUACAGGCAGUAUCUGACCAGGCUGAAGCUGGAGGCAGAGAAAAUGUUCAGGCGAGAAGAGGAAAGGCUUCAGCAACACCUGCCCAAAUUAAAGGAUGCCCCCAAACUGCCGGGAGCAAUUGACGCUUCCUGCCUGGCAGAGCGGCUG